rnacentral:tRNA from 1 species
AGAUGAAUGGGUCAACAACCGCUCUCCUAAAGCGGGUGUCGCAGGUUCGAAUCCUGCCGGGG